UUGAUCACUACGUGGUACAAU
ensembl:piRNA 21ur-12011 ncRNA